UUGUCUGCAAUGCAAUGCUACCUGAGAACUGCUGGAGAUGAUGAAUGGGCAGGGGAAAAGCUCAUGUUUAUGGAUCCUCUCUUUCAAAUCAAAGAAUUGAAGCAUGGUGGUCUUUCAUGAGACGAACUAGAUCAGGCUGGUGGAUUGACUUUUUCCAAGAUAUGGCACAAAAAGGUCGCAACAUGAAACCGUAUCAGGAGUUCCAGACAUUUUGUUCUUUCUGCCAGAAUACUAUGGGGGUGAAAACUGCCUAAUAGAUAUUUCUGCUGAUAAGCUGAGUGAAAUGGAAGAGAGAAUUGACCCAUGCAUUUGUGAGGACAUUUACAAAGAAUAUUUUGAUUAUGUCUUGGAAAACAAAAAUUUGGCAUAUCCUGCAGACAUAAAUGAAGGAUUCGAAAUUUUUCAACAUUUAAUUAAUGUACCACAAUGAAGUUAGUGUUAAUUAUAUAGAUUAUCACAC